AGUGAACGCUGGCGGCGUGCCUAAUACAUGCAAGUAGAAGGAAGUGGCGCACGGGUAAGUAAUAUAUAGCUAAUCUGCCCCUUGCUGGAGGCCAACCGUUAGAAAUGACUGCUAAUACUCCAUAGCAAGGGAUGAGACUAUAUCGUAUCAGCUAGUCGGUGAGGUAACGGCCUACCGAGGCGAUGACGCGUAACUGGUCUGAGCGGAUGAUCAGUCACAUUGGAGCCGAUACAAGGUCCAAAUUCCUACGGGAGGCAGCAGUCGGGAAGAUUGCGCAAUGGGGGAAACCCUGACGCAGCAACGCCGCGUGGAGGAUGACACUUUUCUGAGCGUAAACUCCUUUUGGUAGGGAAGCGGUACCUAACGAAUAAGCACCGGCUAACUCCGUGCCAGCAGCCGCGGUAAUAC
rnacentral:rRNA from 1 species